rnacentral:rRNA from 1 species
GAUAUUGCGCAAUGGGCGAAAGCCUGACGCAGCGACGCCGCGUGGGUGAAGAAGGUUUUCGGAUCGUAAAGCCCUUUUCUGCGUGAAGAGGAUGACGGUAGCGCAGGAAGAAGUGUCGGCUAACUACGUGCCAGCAGCCGCGGUAACACGUAGGACACGAACGUUAUCCGGAAUUACUGGGCGUAAAGGGCGCGCAGGCGGUUUCACAAGACGGACAUGAAAGCCUGGGGCUCAACUCCGGGAGGCUGUCGGUGACUGUGAGACUAGAGCGUGAGAGAGGGGUGUGGAAUUCCGCGUGUAGUGGUGAAAUGCGUAGAGAUGCGGAGGAACACCGGAGGCGAAGGCGGCACCCUGGCUCACGGCUGACGCUGAGGCGCGAAAGCAUGGGGAGCGAACGGGAUUAGAAACCCCGGUAGUCCAUGCUGUA